ACAUAUAGUGACCUCGAUUUGUCAGAAAAGUUAGUCAUUAGUGUUACUAUGGUGAAAAGUCAGGUAUGUCAACUUAUAUAACCUUUUUUUUUUCUUUUUUUUUCUUUGGGUGUCUUUUUGCUGUUUGUGAAAUGAAGGGAGAUAGAGAGAGGGGGGAAGAAAUGCGAAAUGCGUGCGGUCCCCGUGCAUGGGGGUUGCUAACCUGCUCGGCCAGCUGCGCAGCCCUAGCUUAAAUAACCUUUUAAGUUGGAACUUGAUUUUAAGACCUACUCUGAUGAAAAUCAUGGUUUUCUUGUUACAUGUUUAUCUGGCAUUUUUCUGAUUCUAGAGGACAUAUUAUGAGAAAAGUAACUGCAAAAUUGCAUUUCUGAGGAUUUCGUCAUUCAAAUCACAGUGAACCCCUCACAGACCCAAGCCACAGGUUGAGACACAGUGAGAUUUCCUACGUCACAACUUCAAGCUCCGCCCUCGCAGCCUGCUAUGCAGGCCAGACUCAGAGAGGUAGAGAGGACAACUGUGGAACAAGCGGCUGCGUUAGCAGAUUGCAAUGCUGGUAAGCAAGCUAAUCAUGAAAUUAGCUUUCAUCCUGUCCCUAAAGACAUUAAUGUCCAAGAGCUGAAUAGCUCCUAUGUUACCUGCUACUUCUACUACACCGGCAAUGUUAGGAAGCAAGCUUGCGUGAAGAGGAGUGUACAGAGCAGUGCUGUCCCCACCCAACUUAGAAGUGAAUCGCUGAUGAGCUACUAGAGCUCUGCAGAAGAAAAGCCCUUGAAAUUACACAGGUAAUUUGAUUUUGGCUAAAAACUUCAUAAUCACAAUUUAAAGGACACUAAGAACACUUUAAAUAGUAAAGAAAAAAUGCCAUCAGAGUGGGACUUUUACAGUCAGGUAACAUUAAUUUUGAUUGUCUGAAUUUUGAGCAGAUGAAAAAAAAAAAGCAGGAAGAACAAGGACAAUCCAAGGAGCAGAUGAAUGCAGCAAGUGAGUCAGAGCAUGGGGACGCAGGUGGUUAUCAAACCUCUGGUCUUGAGGAAACAAAGCCGGUACUAAUGUGCAACAAGCUGUUGUUUUGUGAUUGACAACAACAGAAGCACCUAAAACCACAUACACACUGAGCAAAGAAAUGCCUGAUUUUUGCGCAAAAUCAAACAAGUUUAUAAGCUGGUUUUAAAAAUGGUUUGAUUAGCUUACUGCCCUCAUGGCACCUUCUGUACAGGGAGGAAUUUUUUGCAGCAUGCUGAUUUUGGUGUUUUCAAGGUUACAAGGUUGGCAAAUCAGAGGCACAGCUGUGUUGACUGACAGGCAGGCACAAAGUAGCUAUUUACAAAGAGGCUAAAAGCCGGGCUCUUGUGGGUUGACCAAAAGUGAGGUCAAGUCCACCUAUCCAUCCAUCUUCUACCCCUUAUUCGGGUCAGAUCACAGGGGCAGCAGUCUAAACACGUUCUCUUUCUCAGCACAGUUGCCAGACGGUCCCGACCCUUGGCAAGUGUUGCGCUGAGCCCUGCAGAGGAUGUGGCAUUCUCCACACUUCCUCAAAUAAGCAUAGAGGGAUUUGGUGUCUGUGAGGUUGGACCCACAGGUAAGACAAACAUUAUUUUCCACAAAUAAAGACACUCACAUGAAGUAGCAUACACUGUAUUUAACCACGUGUUUCAAAGGUGUGUUGUGUGCACAGGUAACAUAAAAAAUGCCAUGCGUGAUGGGAUUAAAAUUGGAACCACCUGUGCGUAAAGGACGCAUCAUGUAAAGGAUGUUUUUUUUCUUCUUCCACUAAUGUUUGCAUGUGAAAUGAACUUGGCUCACACAAUUUAUUAUAACUGAUUUAUUCCAAAUGAAAGUGUCUUUAACUGUGUUAUUCACAUUUUAAAAAGAAAUCACUAAUAUGAUCACUAAAAUAAAGUAUUUGGGCAGAGGUGGCGGCAGCAACUCUGCCCACAGCAGGUCAGAGAGAAGGAGGAGGAGGACGAGGACAACCAGGGGGGUCCGGUGCCAGAGACCCAGGAGGAGAGGUCAGGUCACAGAUCUGAGCUGAGAAGGCAAUGGCGGGGACAUGUCCAGGUGCAGGAAGAGGACCGGCUCUUCCAGGUGUCGGAGAAGGAGCUGGGGGCAAUGGGGACUCAUCUUGAAUUACUGGAGGCACAGGUGAAAACUCUGCAGGAGGUCCUCCAGGCCAGCCUGCUCCCCUUGGCCUCUGGUGCUGCCUCCUUGGGUAGACUUGUAGAUGUUGCUGAAAGGCUGCUGACUAUUCAAGAGCCAUCCACCGCCCCCACCUGUCCCAGUUAGCCAUUGAGGCCACACAUGAGAGGGGCUCUCUGGGUCCAUUGACAG